rnacentral:rRNA from 1 species
GAUGAACGCUAGCGGCAGGCUUAAUACAUGCAAGUCGAGGGGCAGCACGGUUAGCAAUAACUGGUGGCGACCGGCGCACGGGUGCGUAACACGUAUACAAUCUACCUUAAACAGGGGGAUAGCCUUUCGAAAGAGAGAUUAAUACCCCGUAAUAAAUUGAACGGCAUCGUUUGAUUUUGAAAGCUCCGGCGGUUUGAGAUGAGUAUGCGUCUGAUUAGCUAGUGGUGAGGUAACGGCUCACCAAGGCGACGAUCAGUAGGGGAUCUGAGAGGACUAACCCCCCACACUGGUACUGAGACACGGACCAGACUCCUACGGGAGGCAGCAGUAAGGAAUAUUGGUCAAUGGAGGCAACUCUGAACCAGCCAUGCCGCGUGCAGGAUGACGGCCCUAUGGGUUGUAAACUGCUUUUAUACAAGAGAAAACCCUGGUACGUGUACCAGGUUGAUAGUAUUGUAAGAAUAAGCAUCGGACUAACUUCGUGCCAGCAGCCGCGGUAA